rnacentral:lncRNA from 1 species
GGAAGAAUAUGUGGCUGAAUCUGUUGAUAGGCCAGCAAGACUUUCACGACAUGUGUCUCUCUUUUGAAAUGCGGGACUACAAAGGAAGAUAGCCAAGUGACUCAAAAAGCACUGGACACUCUAGUUACUACUGUGAAUCCAAGUGUGAGUUAGGCUCAGUGCCUGCUACAUUAUCUGUUGGGAUAAACUAAAGAGAACCAGACAUAUUGCCCUGCAUAUCCAUGGGCACCUACAGCAGAUGCAUGAACAAGUACUGUAGGAGCUCCCGGGAGAGCGCUGCCAUCCUCUGCUUUGUGGGUGGGCAGGAGGCACAGCUGUGAGCAUUUGCCAGCAGAGGCAUGGAUAGAGCCCCCAGCUGUUCAUGUUCCUGCUUAUGAUUGGGGCCAAGGGAAGACCUUUGGGAUUUCCUUCUGGAAAAUUUACUUAUAACACUAGCAGUAAUUUCAG